AGUCGAACGAGAGAGAAGGAGCUUGCUUCUUCGAUUGAGUGGCGAACGGGUGAGUAACGCGUGAGGAACCUGCCUCAAAGAGGGGGACAACAGUUGGAAACGACUGCUAAUACCGCAUAAGCCCACGGGUCGGCAUCGACCUGAGGGAAAAGGAGCAAUCCGCUUUGAGAUGGCCUCGCGUCCGAUUAGCUAGUUGGUGAGGUAACGGCCCACCAAGGCGACGAUCGGUAGCCGGACUGAGAGGUUGAACGGCCACAUUGGGACUGAGACACGGCCCAGACUCCUACGGGAGGCAGCAGUGGGGAAUAUUGCACAAUGGGGGAAACCCUGAUGCAGCGACGCCGCGUGGAGGAAGAAGGUCUUCGGAUUGUAAACUCCUGUUGUUGAGGAAGAUAAUGACGGUACUCAACAAGGAAGUGACGGCUAACUACGUGCCAGCAGCCGCGGUAAAACGUAGGUCACAAGCGUUGUCCGGAAUUACUGGGUGUAAAGGGAGCGCAGGCGGGAAGACAAGUUGGAAGUGAAAUCUAUGGGCUCAACCCAUAAACUGCUUUCAAAACUGUUUUUCUUGAGUAGUGCAGAGGUAGGCGGAAUUCCCGGUGUAGCGGUGGAAUGCGUAGAUAUCGGGAGGAACACCAGUGGCGAAGGCGGUCUACUGGGCACCAACUGACGCUGAGGCUCGAAAGUGUGGGUAGCAAACAGGAUUAGAUAC
rnacentral:rRNA from 1 species